CUAAAUAUUUAGGAUAAAGCUAAAUAUUUAGAUAAAGCCAAAUAUUUAGUUAGCAAACUAAUUACUAUGCUUGCUAACUGGCAUGUGAAUUUGUUCUAUACUGGAAAUUCACAUGUGAAUCUCGACUAUUGGCAUGUGAAUAUUAGCUUUAUAUUUAUCUCUGAAGUAAAUGGUAAAUGUUUAACUUUAAACUAAAUAUUUAGCUUUGUGUUUAAAGCCGGCUACUUAACUUUAAACUAAAUAGUUAGCUCACUAUUUUUAGUGUGAAGCUAAAUAUUUAGUUCUUAUGCUAAAUAUCUGCUGACUAAAGAUUUAGGUUGAAAUUCUGAUACUUAAAAAUAAAUGAAUAUCAUUGUGAAAAUAUGACUUUAAAAGAAUGAACCCCCAUUUUUCCCUUUCAUGACAGGCUAAAUAACCUAAAUUAUUGCUGCUAACGUUUGACUGUAACUUUACAAACGGUCCCCAUUGCCUAACUGGAAAAAUGAUCACAAACUACAUAAAUGACAACCACAAUAAAACGUGUGAAGUUCUCCCAAUGUUGUUGAAA